GACCUCAAAUCAGGUAGGACUACCCGCUGAACUUAAGCAUAUCAUAGCGGGGGGGAGAUC
rnacentral:rRNA from 1 species